AUGCCAUAUAUGGUAAAUUUUACUUUUCCGUAAUUAAUAAGCUUUUGUUUUGAUACACUUUGUUUAUUUUUUUUAGAAGCAAUGCAAGUGGAAGGCGAUUAUGAGCGGGAGCUCAAAAGAGCUUUCAAGAUGGGUAAAAACCGAUAUCACAAAGCGGGCUCUUUGAAAAAACAAAAAGAUAAACAAAUAUAAUAAAUUAAAGUAUGAAAACAAUUAAUUUAAGUAACAUUGACAUUAUUUUUAAAUGUAAAAUCUUAAUUAUAGUAAUUUGUACUGAAAUGGAUUUCUUUAUUAUUUCUAAUUGAAUUAAAAAAUAUAAAACUAUAAGAUAUUUA